ensembl:lncRNA
CAGGUGCCUGCACCCCAGCUGCAGCAGGCACCCCUGGGGCUGGCGCUGGCGCAGGCUGUGCUGCCUCAGCCCCGAGAGCCCCUCCCCUCACCUGAACUCUGCCCGCCACCUCCUUGGCAGUGCCUUCCCACAGGCCAUGGCUGGGAGCAGCCCGGGACCCGGGCCAGUGCCCAGCCACCAACUGGGGACAGGCCAGGUUGCACUCAGGACGGGAGAGAACAGCACGCAGGAGGGAGGGAGAGAUGCUGGGUCUCCCUCUUGGCAUCGGGAAAGCUUUUGCUGUGGCGAUCUCAGUGUUUAGUGAGGUGGCAGCAGGGCCUGAGCCCCGGCUGCUGUCACCCCUGUGCCCUCUGCCCUCAUGUGUCCCUCGCCCUGGCCCUGGAGUCGUGGCAGAGGGCCUGCCUUGGCCCAAGGCCCCAGGACAGGCGCAUGGCUUCCCAGCGUGCGUGUCAGCCCACCAUCGUGAGCUCUGGAGACGGCGUGGCCCUCAGCCCCGCCCUGCCUCCCUCGCCCCAGUGCCCAGAGAAUGGAAUAAUGGAAUCCGCCUCCUGGGAUUCUGGUGAGAAUUAAAUGGGGAAAUCUGCAGCGAGCCAGCCCACGGGUGAAUUCUGGAUCGGCACGUGCUUUGGGGGCGACAUCAUUCCACCUCUCAGGACCUCCGUUCCUCAUCUGCAGAGGCCAGAGUGAAGACUUCCCGUGGGGCUGUUGGGGUGACCCGAGCUGUGCCGGCGACUGCAGGACAGCUCCUGGGUGUCCCGUCCUGCUCUCUCCCUCCCCACCUUGGCUCAGUUCCCAUGGAGGCCCCUCCUGCCACCCACUGCGCACCCUGGGGUCGCCUGUCCACCCCCAGAGAGUCACAGGCGGGGAGCUGGCCCCAGGAGUCCGGAGGGGGCUCCCUGCUGCUCCUUCUGUUCUGCGUAUCUAGCGAGGGGGCCUCGGUGUCCCUGCCCCUGCCAGCACGGCUGCUCCCUUCUCCACAGCAAGGAAGGGCAGGACAGGCUGCUGACUGAGGGGACAACACAGCCCACCAGUGAAAGCCAGCUGAGGGCUGUGGUCCUCUUCCUGUGCUGGGCCAACGUGUGUCUGUGUCCCCACCCACUGGCCACCGCCGGCACCUGGGGUCCCUCUGCACCCCAGGGUGAGCCCAGGCAUUGCCUUGGCAACGCAAAGUUUCCCAGUGAAGCAGAAAGUUCCACCAUGGUUUGUGAUGGGGCUGACACCAGGAGAAGGUUGCCAGGGCAACGGGAGUAUUUCCGUGGACCUCGGGUCUCGGUGUGGGGAGACUGUCUUGCAGGCAGGCUCACCGGGGGCCUUGCUGGGCUCCAUGAGGUCCUGAGGAGGGGCGCGCCCCAGCCCUUCUGGUCCCCAGGCCAGGAGCUGAGCUUGGGGCUCGCUGCUCUGGACCUCCUCUCCGGCCCUGUUCCCCGAGGAUGAGGUCAGGGCUCUGGCCGUCCUUUGUCAGCAGGCCCUCGGAGUAGGGGGGAACCUGAGGUGUGACCCCAGCCUCCCAUGGUGCACUGGCUUCUGGGGCCUCAGGUGCCACCCACACGCGUGGCCCCUGGCCACUUCUGCUGGGCCAGCCUUGAGGACAGCAGCCUGGACUCGGGUCAGGGCCGCACUCAGGGGCCUGGACCAAGCCCCGCAGCGAUCUGCUCUCCUGGUUCCCCAGGCUCAGCAACCUUCGUGUCUGCCCAGCCCAAGCGGCUCCCCUGUCCUUAAACUCAGUCAUCCCAGACGGUGCCGCAUGGCCAUACAGCCGCUUGGAGUUGCAUCGGCUCCACACGCGCCGUGCCUCUGUCCCUCCCCACUUUCUGCCCAAGUACAGGACCCAGCCUGGCACCUUGCUGGGGUUGGAAGUGGCCAGGUAGGCGCCACCCUGGCACCACUGUGGAGAUGAGCUGCCAUAUGGAUGUGUGGCCCGGAAGCCCCCCUACUUCCUGACGCUCCUGCCAUCCGUCCACACUGGGUGUGAGGGCGAGAGGUGUGUCCCUGGCUCUCCCGAGAAUUUGCAUUCGGGAAAAGCCCACCUUCGGGCCUAGGUGCUGGUGCCCUGUCCUGCAGACAGAGCUGUUCUAAGUUUUGUGCCCUUGGGAGUUUGUCCUCGUGGGGCAAAUGUUUCUACACCUUGGAGUUCAGCCCUGGAGGGGGUGCACACAUCCUGCUGUGGCCUCUCUCCUGCCACCUUUCUGAGCCAUAAGGGCGCCUCACUGUCCCCACAGGAAAGCGGGGAUGGAGAUGCAGCAGAGCUGGUGCUGAGGGCUGAGAUGGUCUGAUGGUGACCGGGCACGGGGACUGCCUCCUCCCUGCCAGGUCUCCAGGUGCCACUACCUCUGCUCUGCUGCAGUGCUGUCCUUUCCAGUGGGACAGCAGAGGGACCAAGGGACAAGAGAGGAUGAGAUGGAGACAGAGACAGAGACAGAGGAGUGUAGGGAACAGGGGAAGGGGACGUUACCAGAACCUCUGCAGUGAGUCCUGGUCUCCCGUGAGCGACGGCAGCACACGGCGAAUUACAGGAAAGGUAGAAAAAUGAGACUGAGAAGAAGCUGAGCUUUGGGUCUGACCAGUGCUGCUCUCGGCAGCAAAGACAAGAAGCCCUAGCUUGCAGCACCUUUUAUUCAGUACAUCUGAAGAAACAAAUAUAACAAAUGAAUAAUGUAGAUUUCAGUAUCACAUUGGGAUGAACAAGGUGUAACAAAAGACUCGGUGGGGGCGGAAAUCUAAGAACAAUGAGGAACUAUGCAGAUGAAGAUUUGGUUCCUCCCUGGCGUCUCCCACAGGUGUGGUCUUGUCCUGGAGAUUGCAGCAUCCCGGGAUCACUGAGGUCUCAGUUGUGACCCGAGGCCAAAAUGCAGUUAUGUCUGGAAUGUCCUAGCUGGCCUGUAGGCAGGAGAACUAGGCCUGCUCAGAGGACUUUUCCCUAGAAUUACGUAGCAUUGCUCCCGACAGAGGAGAGGAGAGGAGAGGUCAGGGUCCUGGGGGAGGCCGAGUCCCAGUGGGCAGGGACAAGUACACUGGCAGACUGGGGGCUCUGGAAGGGGCCUGCACUGGCAGCCACCCCUGCCCCUCCUCUGCCCGCCUACCCCACCAGGCACUCCCGCCUCUGCCCUCCUGUCGCCGAGUGUGGGCGGGUGCGGGGUGCCAGCGGGGGCGGCUUCCGGGGGAUGCCUGGUGACAGCUGGUGCCCCGCUGUCACUGUACCCCGGGAAAGGCGGGAGUCCCAGGGAGUCAUGGGUGCCCGGCUGUCGGGCCCUUGGGCGGCAGCAGGAGGUGGCGCCUGGCCCUCUGCAAGCCUCCGUCAGUCACACAGCCAGAAACCUGUGGACACCAGGCAGGACCAGCUGUCCCCUCCUUCAGAGGCGAGUUCUGGAGGCCGCGGCAGCUGUGGAGCCCUCCCCGUGCCCUCCUGCCUGCCGUGGGGACAGAGAGGGACCCAGAGUCCCGACGAUGUCACCGGAGACCCUCGAGGAGCCAGGCCUGAAAUCUUUCCCCAGAGGUUUCUGUUCCGUGAAUUCUGAGUCCUGUGAGUCCGUGCAUUCUCCACACUGGCCUCAGAUAAAGAACCAUGGCGUCUGCAGGCUGCCCCAGGACGGUGCCCUGGAGCCUGAAGCAGGGAUGGGAGUUCAGAUGCCGGAACCCUGAGACUGGCACGAGGUGGAGUGUGAGGCGCUGCAGGCUGCUCCCUGUGGCCUCUCGGGCCUGAAGAGGGCCUCCUCUUCCUGUGCCUAUGUCCUGAUCGCCUCUUCCUUUUUAGGGGUAAGGGCUGAACCCAGGGCCUUCUGCAUGCCGGGCAAGCCCUGCACCACUGAGCUGCGCCCCAGUCCGUACUUUUUACUUUGAGACAGGGCUGGGUAGGGUGCCCAGGCUGGCCUCAAACUUGUGGUCCUCCCACCACAUUCCUCCUGGGUAGCCAAGAUGACAGCCGUGUGCCACCAUGCCUGGUCCCUAAUCUCUCAUAAGGAAGAGCUCACAUUGGGUUUGGGUGGCCCCAAAGACCCAACUGUGCCUUACCUUACUCUCUCAUGCCAGCUCCAGCUGCUCCGGGAGUGGCUGGGCUGUGGGGCCAGGCCAAGGGCAGCCGCUUCCCCGAGACACCAGAGUCUGGCUGAGGUGGGCCUUGCCUCCCCAUCACCCCCUGCCCGCUCAGCGCCUCUGGUGUCCUCUGCAAGGGUGAGGCCUGGGGUGCAGACAGCACGGCAGCUUUGGGAGUCCCACAGCUUGGCAGAAGGCAAGGCUUCCAGCUGGGGCGGCACCGGAGGGCCCUGGCCAGCGCUGCCAGGUGACCUGUCUGCUGCCCCGGGGCUGCCCUGGGAACUGCUCACCCGGGACCGGGACAGUGGCCAAGGCUGCGAUGGGC